rnacentral:sRNA from 1 species
ACUCCGAAGUGGCAGAAGCCAGAGAGGGAGUCGGUGUGGACGCGAGGAGCCGGGCGCUUAGAACAGAGGCUUGCACAGGUGGAGAUGUGGAAGUCUGUAGUGGGCCAUGAUGUGUCUGUUUCCGUGGAGACCCAGGGUGAUGAUUGGGACACAGAUCCUGACUUUGUGGUGAGUUUGGAAGUAGCUUUGCUUGGACAGUGCAGAGGGUGGGGUGAGGAGGGCAUCUGGGCCACUCUGUGAUCUUUGAGGAUGCUUGGAAAAGGGCCUUCUAGGACUGAGACAGCCCUCAUACUGGGACUAAUUGGUAGGACAAUUGGCUGUCACCUGUGGGGCAUGCACGAUACCUGGUAUCAGGGAUGAAAAGAGACAGGUGUGAGUUUGACAGUGUGAUUGACAGGCCAUGGCAGGCUAUACUGAAGGUGAGAAGCAGGUGAACCUGGGUCUCC